CACACGACUCUCGGCAACGGAUAUCUCGGCUCUCGCAUCGAUGAAGAACGUAGCGAAAUGCGAUACCUGGUGUGAAUUGCAGAAUCCCGCGAACCAUCGAGUAUUUGAACGCAAGUUGCGCCCGAGGCCUUUGGGCCGAGGGCACGCCUGCCUGGGCGUCACGC
rnacentral:rRNA from 1 species